rnacentral:rRNA from 1 species
UACAGAGGUCUCAAGCGUUGUUCGGAUUCAUUGGGCGUAAAGGGUGCGUAGGCGGCGCGGUAAGUCGGGUGUGAAAUCUCGGAGCUUAACUCCGAAACUGCAUUCGAUACUGCCGUGCUUGAGGACUGGAGAUGAGACUGGAAUUUACGGUGUAGCAGUGAAAUGCGUAGAUAUCGUAAGGAAGGCCGGUGGCGAAAGCGAGCCUCUGGACAGUUACUGACGCUGAUGCACGAAGGCCAGGGGAGCAAACGGG